UACAGAGGGUGCUAGCGUUGCUCGGAAUUAUUGGGCGUAAAGGGCGCGUAGGCGGCCCUGUGUGUCGGGUGUGAAAGCCCACCUCUUAAAGGUGGAAUUGCAUUCGAAACUACAGGGCUGGAGUGUCGGAGAGGAUGGCGGAAUUCCUGGUGUAGAGGUGAAAUUCGUAGAUAUCAGGAGGAACACCGGUGGCGAAGGCGGCCAUCUGGACGACAACUGACGCUGAGGCGCGAAAGCGUGGGGAUCAAACAGG
rnacentral:rRNA from 1 species